rfam:Rattus norvegicus chromosome 2, whole genome shotgun sequence.
GGGGAUUUAGCUCAAUGGUAGAGCACUUGCCUAGCAAGCACAAGGCCCUGGGUUCAGUCCCCAGCUCCG